rnacentral:rRNA from 1 species
UUGUGGGAAUAGACCCCUGCAGAGCCGGAGCUAACGCAAUAAGUACCCCGCCUGGGAAGUACGGUCGCAAGACUAAAACUCAAAGGAAUUGACGGGGGCCCGCACAAGCGGUGGAUCAUGUGGUUUAAUUCGAAGCAACGCGCAAAACCUUACCUGGGUUUGACAUCCCCGGACAAACGUAGAAAUACGUCUUCUGUAGCAAUACAGCCGGGAGACAGGUGCUGCAUGGCUGUCGUCAGCUCGUGUGGUGACAUGUUGGGUUAAGUCCCGCAACGAGCGCAACCCUUGUCUUUAGUUGCCAGCAUUAAGUUGGGCACUCUAGAGAGACUGCCGUGGUUAACACGGAGGAAGGUGGGGAUGACGUCAAGUCCUCAUGGCCUUUAUAUCCAGGGCGACACACGUGAUACAAUGGAUGACACAAAGGGAAGCGAACCCGCGAGGGGGAGCGAAUCUCAAAAAGUCAUUCUCAGUUCGGAUUGGAGUCUGCAACUCGACUCCAUGAAGCUGGAAUCGCUAGUAAUCGUGGAUCAGAACGCCACGGUGAAUACGUUCCCGGGCCUUGUACACACCGCCCGUCACACCAUGGGAGCUGACUCAACCAGAAAACGUUAUCGCUAACCGCAAGGGGGCGACCGUCGAAGGUGGGG